GAUGAAGAACGUAGCGAAAUGCGAUACUUGGUGUGAAUUGCAGAAUCCCGUGAACCAUCGAGUCUUUGAACGCAAGUUUCGCCCGAAGCCAUUAGGCCGAGGGCACGCCUGCCUGGGCGUCACACGUCGUUGCCCCCCCAUCUACUCCUUCGGGAUUGCGGGGGGCGGAUGAUGGCCUCCCGUGCGCCUCGCCGCGCGGUUGGCAUAAAUGCCAAGUCCUCGGCGACGCACGCCACGACAAUCGGUGGUUGCGAAACCUCGGUUGCCCGUCGUGUGCGGUCGUCGCGCAUCGAGGGCUCGAAAAAAUUGCCGGGUUCCGGCUCGGCUUUCAACGCGACCCCAGGUCAGGCGGGGUUACCCGCUGAAUUUAAGCAUAUCAAUAAGCGGAGGA
rnacentral:misc_RNA from 1 species